UGGCGCGCAUGACCCGCACGCCGAGGUCAAGGGGCGCAUUUUCUGGGAGCCCUUGGUCGCCCAAAUCCAGCAUGCCUGACUCACCGGCUAUGCUGCAGCAAGACACCAAUCCCCAGGUGCAAGUCAGGAGCUCGCUGCUUUCUGAAUAAUCUGCCACUUUGUGUGUUUAGGAGUGUAAAGUACAAAGAAUCGGACUCUUCUGGUGCACAUUCAGAGGCCUUUACUUCUUUCAGCUGCUGUGUGUGUCUCGGAGUUUACCGGACAGAAGGAAAUUGGCUGCCUGAAGCUGCCUGGAAAAGCGUUGAUGUCCCCUUGCCAAUCCAUGCAGCCCGUGUCAUAAAAAGGUGGUUUGACAUGUUGAGUAGGUGCUGCUGUCUCGCACGCGGCUGAGGAGGGGCGGGCAGCGCAACUGCGUGUGGAGCCUGCUGUACAUUCCUCCAGAGCGCUCCUCAGGCGUUAA
rnacentral:lncRNA from 1 species